AUGCUAAAAGGAAAGCUUAGAUGGGAUCUGUGGUCAGGGACAAUUUCUACUUCUGAAGAUGAAAUUCCUCCUGUACUUUCUUCAUCAGUCUCUUCUAAAGUUUCCAUUCUCAGGGUUCUGCUAAUUCAAACUCUUCUUGUCAGCAGAAUUCAGUAUACAAUCCAAAAAGAAGAGAACAAGAUUCCAUAUAAUGCGCUGUUCCGAGGAAAUGUUAACAGGCACAGUCCAAAGGACAGCACCUCCCUGGGCCUGAUCAUGGAUGAGUAUCUUGAUAAUUUUUUAAAGCCCAUCUUCCAAAGCCCAGCCAAGCAGGGCCUUCUUUCAAAGGAAUACUUUGACAUUUUCUGGGAGGCAUAUGCAGGGACCAGCCCCUCAAGAAACCUCAGUGGGUCUGGAAAUCCUCCCAGCGCAUGAAGAGUUGCUCCAGCUGCCGUCAACCUUGGCAGGUGAGUUGGAAGGGUUUUCUGAAGGCAUGUUGAACAGCAAGGGCUGCGUGGGCCCACCUCGGGCCCCUUGGCUAGCUUCGCUUCCCCUGCAGUGGGAGACUUAGAAAACCUUUGGAGAUUCAUCAUACAACAGAGCUCCAGGGCCCUCCAUGGAACUGUCUGCUAGAGAGAGACAGAAAUAUUUUUAAGAUACACAUCCAUCUGUGCCCCAUGAGGAGCUGUGGCAAGAUUGAGUGGCCCUCCUCUGGCCUGUCCAAAUUGUGCUGAUCCUGACCCUUGGAUACUUACAGAUUUGUUGGUCUAGUUUACCAAGUACUGGGACUCUGCAUGAUUGAGGCCAGAUGCAUUCCCCUGGUUUCCUCUAGUCAGCCCACUGCCCCCACUCCAAGGGCCUACUUGGAAAUGUUUCAGGGAGAUUCAUGCCCUGACCAGACCCACAAGGCUCGGUCUUUCAGUGGCAUGGGCCAGUCCUGCCACUGAAAGGGACCAGGUCCUAUGCAGCAAUGUAACUAGUCUUGGCAUCCCCAGGGCCUUCCUGUUCAUGCCAAGAUGCCCCCAUCUCCAGAGAGGAAUAGAAAUCAUUAGGGAGAGGCAUUGACCAAAUGGAUCAAGCCUGGAGCCUGCACCCUGAGGGGGCUUCUCAAGCUGGCUGGUCCCUGCUUGAAAGAGUGUCUGAAGCAAGGGCCAUGGCUAGGCCUGGAACUCUCCCUUGGUGGCGUCACUGGCCUGGGCCUGGGCCUGGGCCCCCUCCUCCAGAGGAGAACUCAGAAACGUUUUCUUGAGACACCGCUGAUGACCAGGCCCACACAGGACCAGGGAGGGCCUGACCCUUCAGGCCCUGUGCUUUCCAGGCCUUCCUGACAGGCCUAUGGCAAUCUUCCCAACAUGGUUUGCAUUUGUGUCCCUACCUAAAUCUCAUGUCCAAUUGUGAUUCCCAGUGUUGGAGGUGGGGUCUGGUGGAAGGUAAUUCGAUCAUAGGGGUGGUUUCUGAUGAUUCAGCACCAUCCCUUUAGUGCUGUCUUGUGAUAGAGUUAUCCCAAGAUCUGCUUGUUUAAAA
rnacentral:lncRNA from 1 species